AUUUGUCGUUGGUUGUUGUGUUGGCUGUUGGAGUGUUGCAGUGUUGGGCCACUUUUUUUUUUUUUUUUUAAAUCAGGCCCAAAUUAAAAGGCCCAAAUCAGCAUUCAUCCAUUAUAGACCAUAAGGUCUCUUCCAGUCCACUACAAGUACAGCAGAAGGUAGACUGGCAGAGGCAAUGGAGUCUCUAACGACCAGCAACACUUUCCUCGAAUUAGUCCCAUUUCCGAUUUCCUUCCUGUCAAUUAAACCGAUUGCCAGAGAGAUCAGAGAAGAGCAAACCCUUCGUGAGUUCUUCCCAAUUCCUUCCCAUUAUUUACAUGUUUUUUCCCCCAAUUCCUUCCCCCAAAUCACCAUUCAUUCACCCAUUAUUUACAUGUUUUUUUCCUGGCAUAUUUAUUGUUUAAUUAUUGUUUUUUUUUGAGUAGUUUAUUAUGCUCUAUGUUUGAUUUUUAGGAUUUUGAAUUGCUUCGGCUUCGAUUCGAGGCUUAUUGUUUGGGGAUUUUGUUACAAAUUAUUGAAAGUUUUGUAAUGCCAAAGUGAUCCGGUGCUUAUUAUCAACUCAAAUGACUUUUGAAGCCUUAAAGUGAGUUUCAAUUGAAGAUGAAAGUAGAUCAAAGUUUAAUUAUCUAUUUUAUUUCUACGUUCUUUAUUACUUUUGGAGCAGAAGUUUUGAAAAAUCUGGUUAACUUAGCCUAAUCGAGUGUUGUUUCUGGCAUAAGAGCAUAUCUUAUUACAUGCCACUAGGUCAAACAUUUGAAAAGUACUUGUGAGCCAGUGAAAAGGAGAACAUGUUAAGAUGGAAAAUCUUUUUGCAUGAUAGUAUGAACUUAAACUUCUUGAAUUUGGCAGUGGAAUGAAUACAUGUUAUUUAUUAUAAGAGUAUAUCUAUUUAAUGUGUCUUUGAGGAUUUUUAUCAAAAUGGGGUGGUCAAUGCUGCAACUAAUUCUACUUGCUUGACUUUUUUUCUUUGUAUGUCUAUCAUUUGAUUCAUUUCUUUCGAAUGAGUUUCGAUGGUUGAUCAUAUCUUGACUUUCUAAUUCAAAUUUCACGUGUAAAUCUCUAGCAUCUUAAAAUGUUAAAUGGGCUAGCCUUAAAUGGCUUUUCAACGAUUGGCCGCCGACCGAAUCGGGCUUUUAAGAUCGUUGAUUGUCGACGGUCAAUGGUCAAAGUCAACAUCCGCCCUAACUGAACAUUGAUACUAGAUUCGCCCCUGAUUGUAUCCUUCAAAACUUGUAAUAUAAGUGCAUAAUUAGCACCCACUAUUAGAUACGACUUGUAUGAUUUAAAAGCAUAAUUAACAAUAAUCUAACUUCAUUUUCUCUAAACUACCAUCAACAUGCCAAAAUGUGUCCAACCUAAUAAACGCUACUGGUGGUGAUAGCCAUAUAACCACAGAUAAUUCUUAUUGGUUUUGCAGCCUUCACCUUCCAAAUCCAAAAAAAAAAAGGAGUUAAAAAUGCAGCAAUACUUUAAUUGCAGUAAAAGAGUUUGUUUCUCCCAUGCAAUGAAAGACUCCAAUUCCAGGAAGUUCUAACUAAUCAGGAGGGAGAGAGGCUACAUCUUUCUCUUUUUGCCACACACAAUAAAACGUCUUUUCCCAAUAAAUUUGGACAAUUAACCUUCCUCUUGUGCCAUAAUUGAUCAAAUUUGAAACAGAUUAUCAUAAGCAAAUUAAUGUUACAUAUGUUUGCGGUCAUUUAACAUUACAAUUUGAUGCAGUCAUAUGAUGAAUGUAAUUAUCGAAAAAUAACUCUCCUUCUGCAUCAUUCAUGAUAUUCUUUUUGGUCUUCAUCGUAUUUUACCAAAGUAAAAUUUAAUCAAUGCCAUUCACGGGCAAGAUUGUCUUGAUCUUCUAGUGAAGAUAACUGCUAGAAUUGGGUUUCUAGUUGCCCAAAAUCAUUUUGCAGAGGCAAUCCAGAAUUAGCUUAUUUGUUGUCUUAAUCUUUCCGGGGACACAACAACCUUAAGUUAUCUCAAAUGUUAUUUCAUUCAUCGAAUUGUAUAGUUGUUAGUUGCAUAAUGACAAUCCUCAUGUUGUUUAAUCAUUCAAUAGUAAUAUUAUAGAACUCAUGCCGUCUCUCUUAAAUUUUGAAGUAAUAUUUAUAUUCCACAUUAAAUAGAUUAUAUGGAAGUUCAAGGAGACCUCCAAACUACCAUUACAUUUUCAGUUGAUUAAUUCUCACUGCACUAUGGAAAAUCGAGGCUCAACACUUGCAUUUUACGGUACUAGUAGUAUAAAGACAUGCAAAACAGAUCCUAAGCAAUAACAAAGAGCGGUUAAGAGCUCCUCUAGCUGACGAUGCAUAACACAGGUCUUUGGGAACUUAAAGAAGAAUUUGUCGCAGAAUAUAUCUAACUAAGCAUUUUAGCUCUGGAGGCCCACAACUAGAGGAACGAUACAAGUAUCCACCGACAAAUCAUGUAUGGGAUCUUUGCGUACCAAAUGACCAAGUGAAUGGUAAGUCAAGAAAGCCGCACGAAGGGUGCCAUCAGGUAUUCUAUAAAUGGGACACCAUGCCACUGAGUACCUGAAAGUAGACUGUCAAUGCUCAAAACCAAUAUAUGUUCAUAUCAAACUAACUUUACAAGGUUGUAUAACUUUAUUAUUUUGGAUUAGUCUCUACAUUUACUGACCACGAACUUUAGAGAAGAUCCUGUAGACUUACCCGCUCUAGAACAGUGGGAUCUCCAUGUGCUCUGCAUUUCGAACGUCCUUCACCUCGAACAAGCUCCUUUAUCCUGAAACACAGGAAUCGGGAAAAGAAUUAAUUCCAUUCAUUGUUUGUGAAACUAGUUUUCUGUAUGUUGACCGUAGAUCGCUGAAUUUUUUAGAAGUACCGAUCCGUUUAAGCCCCACAGAUCUCUAAAGACUUCAAAAAUGCUCAUAGACUGAUCAUUCUGCCUCAUUUUCCGAGGUACAAAUGCAAACGUAACACGGAUACGUAAGUCAUCUAAUUGAAUAGCUCUGUCAAGGAAAUGCAACUGUGUGCUCAUGCAGUUCUCUACUGGUUAAAUCAGUGAAUGCCAGCCAUAGCAACGUAUUUACACGUGUAGAUUUUGGUAAUUUAUAUACAAAUAAAAAAAAAAUGUAUCUCAGUAUGAUAUAAUGUCUGCCGUAAGAUCAAAUGACAAAUAUAAAGAGGUAAGGUAAAAAAUUAAAUUUACAUUUUGUUAAUGGAUUGAUUCCUAAAUUACAUUACAAUCCCUAGGCUUAUGCUUGAACUCAAUCCCCUUACCACAAAGUUUUCAAACGCAUGAAGGAAACUUUAACCUUGAGUAUAGAGUUGAAUAGUAGAAUGGAAUAAAACAAAAUUGUUAGGAACCAGAAGACAGACGUAUAUCAUGAAAGGGAUCUUAAUAAAAUCAGCACUGGGGCUUCCUAAUAUUAAUUUCACAGUAAAAUAAGGUCCGAGGAUUCAAGAUCAUUGAAGCAGGAGUGAAAGAAUUUAUAAGUUCUAUUCAUUAUUCGUGGCAUUCUCAUAUCUCUAAUGCUGAAAAUUGAAAGCCCAUUUUUCCCAUCUUUUCGUUUCGUUGACAUUUUAGGCACUAAAGUUCAACAGCCCAACAUAAAUGUAAAUGCCAUAAGGAGCAGCUUAAACAGGUCAGAAUGAUGUAAUAUCUCUCUUCAUUCUCUUACUCAUGGUAUUCUCAUGUCUCUAAUGAUUUUUGUUGGUGAAUAUGACAGGGUUGUAAUGGCCUCUUUAUUUAUUUAUUAUUUAUUAUUUUUUGUCAAUGGAAUAGAAGGAAAGAAUACAAAGCACAAUCUUUAUAUUUAGUAGGUUAUCAUUAAUAAAUAUUGUAAUUAAUAGUUACCAUAUUUAAUUUGAUUUUGGUUCUAUAUAGUGAGAGAAAUUCUCGCGUCGAGAGGCUUCGAGUCUUAUCCAAUAUUAUUCAAUAUAUUUGACAUGAUCAGAGCUAUCUUGAUCCUAAACAAAUUUAUCUUUGAAUUUCGUUUCCUGUGAGUACCUUGUGCUACUCGCCUUGUCAAUUUUUAUUUUUUUAGCUACCAAUUUCUACUUGCAGUCACAGAAUAUUCAACACGAGAUAUAUGAAAUAGCCAUUAGAGAGGUUUAAGGUUCAGACAAGAAGUACAAGAACAAUAUGAAACUCUCUCCUUAAUCUCCUCGCACAAUCCCAAAAUCCCAAUAUGAGCCAAUUCAGCCACCACAACCUCUUCGUCCACACAUCCAUUCUCCUCCUACUCAUCCUCAUAUACCCUAGCACCUCCAACAUAACCUCCGACCGCACAGCUCUCUUAGCCCUUCGCACUUCCAUGGGGGGCUGCGUCCUUCUCUAAAACUUUUCCAGCCCCACCCCAUGCUCAUGGGCUGGCAUCACUUGCUCCUCUGAAAAUUCUUCAGUUAUAGAUCUUCGCCUCCCUGGAAUGGACCUUUCCAAUGAAUAUCUGGUUUUGUGGUGGGCGAUGCUGGGGAAGGCAGUGUGACGAUUGGCGAGUAGGUUUUGUUGGCGAAGUUGGUGAAUUUAUGCAGGUAUGAAGGAGAUGUCGUCGGCACUGGAUGCGUUGGCAGCGAAACGCAGGUUUGGUUUGUGUUGGUAUAAACGGGAAUUGGGCAGUUUUUGUGGAUUUUGUAUAUGGG
rnacentral:lncRNA from 1 species